UCCUCAAUAGCUUAAUGGUAGAGCAGUCAGUUGUGAACUGCCUGGUCGUAGGUUUGAAUCCUACUUGGGGAG